UGGCCCCAUUUCCCAUUUCUAGUCUUUCUAAGGAUGUUUUUUCUUUUUUACAAUUUUUUCAUAGUUGUGGUGUAGCACUCUGUAAUUUGAUACGGGUAAUAAAAAACCGCCAGACAGGGUUCUUAUUGUGCGGGACUGGGCAGCUUGCCGGGUGUUAUGAGCGUCCCCUGCAGUGGCCACUAAACUGAUUCCCUCCUCAGUGCUUUCGUUCAUUUAUUUCACGGCAGGUGCAUUGGAACAGGUAGCAGCGAUGAAAAGCUGUUCAUGUUGUAAAUCUUGCAUGUCGGCUAGGGGGAAAGUUUCCUCCACGUUUUUGGAAUACCAACAAUAUUUCGAUUCUUGCUAAAAGGGAACAUGCAAGCUGUUAUAAAAAAAAGUGUAUUUAUUGCUCAAUCUUUUAACAGCUCUGGGAAAAAUGAAGAGACCACUGCACUUAACCCCAUUGAAAACCUCAUGGUUAUUCCACCAAAUACUGAUUUAUGAACUCUUCCUGAUUUAAAACAUUAGUGUUGUUGUUUCUAAAUGAAUAUGAACUUGUUUUCUUUGCAUUAUUUUAUGUCUGAGAGCACU